GGGGCCGUAGUCUAGUUUGGUCUAGGAUACCUGAGCAUUUCGCGCAGGCGAUCGUGAGUUCAAAUCUCACCGGCCCCACCA
rnacentral:tRNA from 1 species